CUUUAUUUCGCGUAUUGCCUUUUAAAGUCCACUUCGCGGCUACUUAAUUUCGCGAAUUUCUAAUUUAUAUGAUGUAGUUCAGUAAGGAAAGAUCCAAGUGUUACAUAUUCGCGACGAUUUGUAUUCGCGUUAUUUUUCUACUCGCGAAAGUCGCGAAAAUAAAUCGCUCGCGAAAAUAAGUUGGUUUACAGUAUCUAUUUUUCAUUUUUGUUAUCUAUCAUAUGAUUGGUUGUACUUGUG
rnacentral:lncRNA from 1 species